rnacentral:rRNA from 1 species
CGGCGUGCUUAACACAUGCAAGUCGAACGAAGCACCUUGAUUUGAUUCUUCGGAUGAAGAUCCUGGUGACUGAGUGGCGGACGGGUGAGUAACGCGUGGGUAACCUGCCUCAUACAGGGGGAUAACAGUUAGAAAUGAUUGCUAAUACCGCAUAAGACCACAGCACCGCAUGGUACAGGGGUAAAAACUCCGGUGGUAUGAGAUGGACCCGCGUCUGAUUAGGUAGUUGGUGGGGUAACGGCCUACCAAGCCGACGAUCAGUAGCCGACCUGAGAGGGUGACCGGCCACAUUGGGACUGAGACACGGCCCAAACUCCUACGGGAGGCAGCAGUGGGGAAUAUUGCACAAUGGGGGAAACCCUGAUGCAGCGACGCCGCGUGAGCGAUGAAGUAUUUCGGUAUGUAAAGCUCUAUCAGUAGGGAAGAAAAUGACGGUACCUGACUAAGAAGCACCGGCUAAAUACGUGCCAGCAGCCGCGGUAAUACGUAUGGUGCAAGCGUUAUCCGGAUUUACUGGGUGUAAAGGGAGCGUAGACGGAGUGGCAAGUCUGAUGUGAAAACCCGGGGCUCAACCCCGGGACUGCAUUGGAAACUGUCAAUCUAGAGUACCGGAGAGGUAAGCGGAAUUCCUAGUGUAGCGGUGAAAUGCGUAGAUAUCAGGAGGAACACCAG